rnacentral:rRNA from 1 species
GUGAGGAAUAUUGGUCAAUGGGCGGAAGCCUGAACCAGCCAUCCCGCGUGAAGGAAGGCGGCCCUAUGGGUUGUAAACUUCUUUAGUACAUGAAGAACAGGAUCUACGCGUAGGUUUAUGACGGUAAUGUACAAAAAAGCAUCGGCUAACUCCGUGCCAGCAGCCGCGGUAAUACGGAGGAUGCGAGCGUUAUCCGGAUUCAUUGGGUUUAAAGGGUACGUAGGUGGCCCUGUAAGUCAGUGGUGAAAAUCUGACGCUUAACGGGAGGGGUGCCAAUGAUACUGCGGGGCUUGAGUACAGUUGAGGUAGGUGGAAUGUGUAGUGUAGCGGUGAAAUGCAUAGAUAUUACACAGAACUCCGAUUGCGAAGGCAUCUUACUAAGCUGAAACUGACACUGAUGUACGAAAGCGUGGGGAUCGAACAGGAUUAGAAACCCGGGUAGUCC